ensembl:lncRNA
GAGAGAGCGGUAGUAAGAGACAGGGAGGGAGGGAGGCAGAGAGAGCGGUAGUAGGAGACAGGGAGGGAGGCAGAGAGAGCGGUAGUAGGAGACAGGGAGGGAGGGAGUGAUGAAACAAACAAAAAAGUUGUGUAACGUAUCUUUACUCCAGACCUACAGCUAGGCUCAAUGUUCCUCACCUGCCCCAGACCUACAGCUAGGUUCAAUGUUCCUCACCUGCCCCAGACCUACAGCUAGGCUCAAUAUUCCUCACCAGCCCAAACCUACAGCUAGGUUCAAUGUUCCUCACCUGCCCCAGACCUACAGCUAGGUUCAAUGUUCCUCACCAGCCCAAACCUACAGCUACGUUCAAUGUUGUUUGUUUAUUCAAUGUGCUAGGUUCAAUGUUCCACACCGUCCCCAGACCUACAGCUAGGCUCAAUGUUCCUCACCUGCCCCAGACCUACAGCUAGGCUCAAUGUUCCUCACCAACCCAAAGAGUGCUGUACAAACACACAGAACAUACAGGCACAUGUAGGGUUGCAAAAUUCCUGGAACGUUCAAUACACUUCCAGGUUUUCCAGAAAUAGUGAUGAGAGGAUUCUGUAUUUCCUGCUUAUUCCCUCCUGAUUUCGGGAAUCCUUCAA